rnacentral:rRNA from 1 species
UACGUAGGGGGCAAGCGUUGUCCGGAAUCAUUGGGCGUAAAGCGCGUGUAGGCGGUUCGGUAAGUCGGCUGUGAAAGUCCAGGGCUCAACCCUGGGAUGCCGGUCGAUACUGCCGGACUAGAGUUCGGAAGAGGCGAGUGGAAUUCCCGGUGUAGCGGUGAAAUGCGCAGAUAUCGGGAGGAACACCAAUGGCGAAGGCAGCUCGCUGGGACGUUACUGACGCUGAGACGCGAAAGCGUGGGGAGCAAGCAGG